rnacentral:rRNA from 1 species
AUGGUAGGAUAGAGGCCUACCAUGGUGGUAACGGGUAACGGGGUGUUAGGGCACGACACCGGAGAGGGAGCCUGAGAAACGGCUACCACAUCCAAGGAAGGCAGCAGGCGCGCAAAUUACCCAAUCCCGACACGGGGAGGUAGUGACAAUAAAUAACAAUACGGGGUUCUUUGAAUCUUGUAAUUGGAAUGAGUACAAUUUAAAUCUCUUAACGAGGAACAAUUGGAGGGCAAGUCUGGUGCCAGCAGCCGCGGUAAUUCCAGCUCCAAUAGCGUAUAUNAAAGUUGUUGCAGUUAAAAAGCUCGUAGUUGAAUUUCGGGAUCAAUACGUCGGUCGUGCUUUCGGGUACGUACUGGCGUCAUUGGUUUCUCCUUUCUGACGAACCAUGAUGUCAUUAAUUUGGUGUUAUGGGGAGUUAGGACUGUUACUUUGAAAAAAUUAGAGUGUUUAAAGCAGGCAUUAGCUUGAAUACAUUAGCAUGGAAUAAUGAAAUAGGACGUUCGAUCCUAUUUUGUUGGUUUCUAGGAUCAACGUAAUGAUUAAUAGGGAUAGUUGGGGGCAUUAGUAUUCAAUUGUCAGAGGUGAAAUUCUUGGAUUUAUUGAAGACUAACUACUGCGAAAGCAUUUGCCAAGGAUGUUUUCAUUAAUCAAGAACGAAAGUUAGGGGAUCGAAGACGAUCAGAUACCGUCGUAGUCUUAACCAUAAACUAUGCCGACUAGGGAUCGGAUGAUGUUAAUUUUUUAAUGACUCAUUCGGCGCCUUACGGGAAACCAAAGUGUUUGGG